AACGAACGCUGGCGGCAUGUCUAACACAUGCAAGUCGAACGAGACCUUCGGGUCUAGUGGCGCACGGGUGCGUAACGCGUGGGAACCUGCCCUUAGGUUCGGAAUAACUCCCCGAAAGGGGUGCUAAUACCGGAUAAUGUCUUCGGACCAAAGAUUUAUCGCCUUUGGAUGGGCCCGCGUUGGAUUAGCUAGUUGGUAGGGUAAAAGCCUACCAAGGCGACGAUCCAUAGCUGGUCUGAGAGGAUGAUCAGCCACACUGGGACUGAGACACGGCCCAGACUCCUACGGGAGGCAGCAGUGGGGAAUAUUGGACAAUGGGCGAAAGCCUGAUCCAGCAAUGCCGCGUGAGUGAUGAAGGCCUUAGGGUUGUAAAGCUCUUUUACACGGGAUGAUAAUGACAGUACCGGGAGAAUAAGCUCCGGCUAACUCCGUG
rnacentral:rRNA from 1 species